UGGAAGAGAAGGGAACUGUCCCAGUGUCAAGUAGUAUAGCCAACUUUUGCCAUUUGUAGAGUCCGGUAUGUACCUUGGAAUGCAUUUGAACAGAAGGUUAAUGUAAUGGGAAAAGCACAUAAAAACCAAGAGGGAAGAGCUGCAUAUCAAACUGCGUAAAAUUUAUUGGUUUAUUAGUAGAAAUCUCAACUAUCACUAUACGACAAGUUAAAUAUCUACAAAGUUAUCCUGAAGUCAGUGUGGAAUUACGGAAUUCAGCUAUGUACUGAACUGCCAAUUAGUGCUUGACGUUGUCUAGUGCGUCACAAAUGCAGCCAUCCAUAGAAAGCUAGAAUUACUAAACAGUUAUUGAAGAAAUCCAGUGAUACAGUAUUAACCAUGACAUAGACCGAAUCGCGUGUGGAUAAAAUUUUAUGAGAGUAAGAAAAGCGAAACAUAACGAACACGCGAACGAAACGAGUUUUUUAUCAGAACUUAAUUUUCUAUUCGAUGUCAUGCAAGAUAAAGCAACGUCUUCGCCUAUUGACAUUCUACGUAUCUAUAGUAUAAAGAUAUUCAAGUAACCUAUUUUUACUGUCUACUGUUUAAAAUUUAAAUAUAGCAUGCAAGAUUAUAUAAAAUAUCUAAAAUGCAAUACUCCUUAUCGUUGUUGUAUAUGUAAUCGUUAAUAUUCGUAGAUUAUGAUAUAUUGGCGCCACCUAGUAGUCGUGUACGAUGUACAUCGUGCACGAAGCGAUGGAAUAAAAGAAUGUUUUCCGUUGCAACAAGUUUCCGCGUACAGUGCGAAGAGCACACGUUCAGUUAGCUAAUCUAUAAGUUGUAAUUACAUGUACGAUAUUAAGUUG